UGUAUAAUGGGUCAGCGACUUAUAUUCUGUAGCAAGGUUAACCGAAUAGGGGAGCCGAAGGGAAACCGAGUCUUAACUGGGCGUUAAGUUGCAGGGUAUAGACCCGAAACCCGGUGAUCUAGCCAUGGGCAGGUUGAAGGUUGGGUAACACUAACUGGAGGACCGAACCGACUAAUGUUGAAAAAUUAGCGGAUGACUUGUGGCUGGGGGUGAAAGGCCAAUCAAACCGGGAGAUAGCUGGUUCUCCCCGAAAGCUAUUUAGGUAGCGCCUCGUGAAUUCAUCUCCGGGGGUAGAGCACUGUUUCGGCAAGGGGGUCAUCCCGACUUACCAACCCGAUGCAAACUGCGAAUACCGGAGAAUGUUAUCACGGGAGACACACGGCGGGUGCUAACGUCCGUCGUGAAGAGGGAAACAACCCAGACCGCCAGCUAAGGUCCCAAAGUCAUGGUUAAGUGGGAAACGAUGUGGGAAGGCCCAGACAGCCAGGAUGUUGGCUUAGAAGCAGCCAUCAUUUAAAGAAAGCGUAAUAGCUCACUGGUCGAGUCGGCCUGCGCGGAAGAUGUAACGGGGCUAAACCAUGCACCGAAGCUGCGGCAGCGACGCUUAUGCGUUGUUGGGUAGGGGAGCGUUCUGUAAGCCUGUGAAGGUGUGCUGUGAGGCAUGCUGGAGGUAUCAGAAGUGCGAAUGCUGACAUAAGUAACGAUAAAGCGGGUGAAAAGCCCGCUCGCCGGAAGACCAAGGGUUCCUGUCCAACGUUAAUCGGGGCAGGGUGAGUCGACCCCUAAGGCGAGGCCGAAAGGCGUAGUCGAUGGGAAACAGGUUAAUAUUCCUGUACUUGGUGUUACUGCGAAGGGGGGACGGAGAAGGCUAUGUUGGCCGGGCGACGGUUGUCCCGGUUUAAGCGUGUAGGCUGGUUUUCCAGGCAAAUCCGGAAAAUCAAGGCUGAGGCGUGAUGACGAGGCACUACGGUGCUGAAGUAACAAAUGCCCUGCUUCCAGGAAAAGCCUCUAAGCAUCAGGUAACAUCAAAUCGUACCCCAAACCGACACAGGUGGUCAGGUAGAGAAUACCAAGGCGCUUGAGAGAACUCGGGUGAAGGAACUAGGCAAAAUGGUGCCGUAACUUCGGGAGAAGGCACGCUGAUAUGUAGGUGAAGCGACUUGCUCGUGGAGCUGAAAUCAGUCGAAGAUACCAGCUGGCUGCAACUGUUUAUUAAAAACACAGCACUGUGCAAACACGAAAGUGGACGUAUACGGUGUGACGCCUGCCCGGUGCCGGAAGGUUAAUUGAUGGGGUCAGCGCAAGCGAAGCUCUUGAUCGAAGCCCCGGUAAACGGCGGCCGUAACUAUAACGGUCCUAAGGUAGCGAAAUUCCUUGUCGGGUAAGUUCCGACCUGCACGAAUGGCGUAAUGAUGGCCAGGCUGUCUCCACCCGAGACUCAGUGAAAUUGAACUCGCUGUGAAGAUGCAGUGUACCCGCGGCAAGACGGAAAGACCCCGUGAACCUUUACUAUAGCUUGACACUGAACAUUGAGCCUUGAUGUGUAGGAUAGGUGGGAGGCUUGGAAGUGUGGACGCCAGUCUGCAUGGAGCCGACCUUGAAAUACCACCCUUUAAUGUUUGAUGUUCUAACGUUGACCCGUAAUCCGGGUUGCGGACAGUGUCUGGUGGGUAGUUUGACUGGGGCGGUCUCCUCCUAAAGAGUAACGGAGGAGCACGAAGGUUGGCUAAUCCUGGUCGGACAUCAGGAGGUUAGUGCAAUGGCAUAAGCCAGCUUGACUGCGAGCGUGACGGCGCGAGCAGGUGCGAAAGCAGGUCAUAGUGAUCCGGUGGUUCUGAAUGGAAGGGCCAUCGCUCAACGGAUAAAAGGUACUCCGGGGAUAACAGGCUGAUACCGCCCAAGAGUUCAUAUCGACGGCGGUGUUUGGCACCUCGAUGUCGGCUCAUCACAUCCUGGGGCUGAAGUAGGUCCCAAGGGUAUGGCUGUUCGCCAUUUAAAGUGGUACGCGAGCUGGGUUUAGAACGUCGUGAGACAGUUCGGUCCCUAUCUGCCGUGGGCGCUGGAGAACUGAGGGGGGCUGCUCCUAGUACGAGAGGACCGGAGUGGACGCAUCACUGGUGUUCGGGUUGUCAUGCCAAUGGCACUGCCCGGUAGCUAAAUGCGGAAGAGAUAAGUGCUGAAAGCAUCUAAGCACGAAACUUGCC
rnacentral:rRNA from 1 species